GGGCGUCUAGCUCACCUGGUAGAGCGCGCGUUUAGCAACUAGUAUUGGUAUACUCGAGGUACAGCGUUCGAGUCGCUGGUCGUCCA
rnacentral:tRNA from 1 species